rnacentral:rRNA from 1 species
GACGAACGCUGGCGGCGUGCUUAACGCAUGCAAGUCGUACGGUAAGGCCCUUUCGGGGGUACACGAGUGGCGAACGGGUGAGUAACACGUGAGUAACCUGCCCACAACUUUGGGAUAACGCUAGGAAACUGGUGCUAAUACUGGAUAUGUGCUCCUGCUGCAUGGUGGGGGUUGGAAAGCUCCGGCGGUUGUGGAUGGACUCGCGGCCUAUCAGCUUGUUGGUGGGGUAGUGGCCUACCAAGGCGGCGACGGGUAGCCGGCCUGAGAGGGUGACCGGCCACAUUGGGACUGAGAUACGGCCCAGACUCCUACGGGAGGCAGCAGUGGGGAAUAUUGCACAAUGGGCGCAAGCCUGAUGCAGCAACGCCGCGUGCGGGAUAACGGCCUUCGGGUUGUAAACCGCUUUCAGCAGGGACGAAGCUUUUUGUGACGGUACCUGCAGAAGAAGCACCGGCUAACUACGUG